rnacentral:rRNA from 1 species
CCUACGGGAGGCAGCAGUGGGGAAUUUUGCGCAAUGCUCGUAAGAGUGACGCCGCGACGCCGCGUGAAUGACGAAGGCCUUCGGGUCGUAAAGUUCUUUCGACAGGGAAGAAAAUGCCUAUAAGUAACUGUGUAUGUAUUGACGGUACCUGUAUAAGCAGCCCCGGCUAACUCCGUGCCAGCAGCCGCGGUAAUACGGAGGGGGCGAGCGUUGUUCGGAGGGACUGGGCGUAAAGAGCACGUAGGCGGUGUUGUAAGUCAUUAGUCAAAGACUAGAGCUCAACUUUAGUAAGGCUAGUGAUACUAUAAUACUAGAGUAUCAGAGAGGAUUGCAGAAUUCCUGGUGUAGCGGUGAAAUGCGUAGAUAUCAGGAGGAAUACCGUUAGCGAAGGCGGCAAUCUGGCUGGAAACUGACGCUGAGGUGCGAAAGCGUGGGUAGCAAACAGGAUUAGAUACCCCUGUAGUC